ACAUCUGUGAGGCUACAGUUGUGCAGCAGAAUCCUUUAGCUGUUACUUGGUAAGUGAUUUUUAAUUACAGCAAAUGUUCUAUUUUUGUCUGCCCCUUUUAUUGCACGUUCAAGUCCUAUUAUGUCUUGAAUGAUCGACACGGGGGGGCUAUAUGAAAUCUCUCAAAAACCUGAAGUAUUGGUUUAAUAUUCCUUGCUUCGGAUCCUGUCGGGAGAAACAUAUUUUUUUGUAAUCGUUAGCCUUUCUAAUUGUUUUAAGGUACUUGCUAAUCAGUCUAAAUUUGUAUUUUGCAGCUAAUGGCGGAGAAUGUAAGAACUACAGUCAUUAGAUUCCAUUGAUGGCUUCAUCUUGGGGCACAUGUAUUCGAUGACUGACUGGUUGCUUGUUCCUCAGUUGUGCUACAACUUGAGUAGAGCUAAUUUUGCUAAGUUUUGAAGAACAUCUUAAAUGAGUGGUUAUGUUUGUUGUAAACAUGUUUCUGCAUCGUAUAAGUGUUUUGGUUAUGUAUUGAUUGGAACCAAUAAAGAUGCUUGCCUGUAGUGACUCUGA